rnacentral:rRNA from 1 species
UUUAGAUUUAUUUAUUUAAUUUUUUAGUUUAAUUUUAAUAUUAUUAAAAAUAUUUAUAAUAAAAAAUUUUUAGUAUAUUUUUGAAAAAAUAUUAUUUAAUUAUAGAUUAUUAGUACUGUAAAGGAAUAUUGAAAUAUUAUGAAAAAUUAUAAUUAUAUAAGAAAAUUUAGUUUAUUGUAUCUUGUGUAUCAGAGUUAAUUAAAUAAAAUUUAUUUAAUAAUAAAUUUCUCGAUUUUAAAAGAGUUAAUAUAAAAUUUUAUUUAAUGUAUCAAAAUUAUUAAUAAUUUUAUAUUAGAAAUUAAAAGUUAUUCGGUUUUAAAGGUAUCUAGUUCUUUAAGAAAUAAAUUUAAUUUAGAAUUUUUUAAUUAAUUAUUUUAUUUUAAAUUAAUUAAUUUAUAAAAUUUAAUUUAUUAUGGGAUAAGCUAUAAUAAAAAUUUUUAUAAUUAUAUUUUAUAUAUUAUAAAUAUAAGCUUAGAAUUAGUUAUUAUUAGAAAAAGUGUUAUAAUUUAUAUAAUAAUAAUAAAGAUUUUUUAAAAUUUAAGUAUUUAUUAAAGAAUUAUUAUUAAUAUUAGUUAAUAAGAUAAAAUGAUUAAAUUAGUAAAUUAAUAUUAUAUAAAUAUAUAUAUAUAUAUAUAUAUAAAUUUAAAUAAAGAAUUCGGCAAAAUAAAAUAUUCGCCUGUUUAACAAAAACAUGUCUUUUUGAGAAUUAUUUUAAGGUCUAACCUGCCCAGUGAUAAUUUUAACGGCCGCAGUAUAUUAACUGUGCAAAGGUAGCAUAAUCAUUAGUUUUUUAAUUGAAAGCUAGUAUGAAUGGUUGGACGAAAUAUAAACUGUUUCAUUUAAAUAUUUUAUUUGAAUUUUAUUUUUUAGUAAAAAAGCUAAAAUUUAUUUAAAAGACGAGAAGACCCUAUAAAUCUUUAUAAUAAAUUUAUUUAUAUAUUUAUAUUUAAAUAAUAUUUUAAUAAAUUAUUUAUUUUAUUGGGGUGAUAUUAAAAUUUAUUAAACUUUUAAUUAAUAUUUUUCAUAAAUUAAUGUAAUAUUUGAUCCAUUAUUAAUGAUUAAUAAAAUAAGUUACUUUAGGGAUAACAGCGUAAUAAUUUUGGAGAGUUCUUAUUAAUAAAAUUGAUUGCGACCUCGAUGUUGGAUUAAGAUAUAGUUUUAGGUGUAGAAGCUUAAAUUUUAAGUCUGUUCGACUUUUAAAAUCUUACAUGAUCUGAGUUCAGACCGGCGUAAGCCAGGUUGGUUUCUAUCUUUAAAUUUUUAAUAUAAUAUAGUACGAAAGGAUUUAUUAUAUAAUAUAAAAUAUUUAUUUUAAUGAAUAUAAUUAAU